rnacentral:rRNA from 1 species
AAUUUAAUUUUAUUUAUUUUUUUAUUUUAUUUUUAUCUUAAAUAUAUUUAAAUUUUAGUUUUAAUAAAAAAUUUUUUUUUAUAUCUGUAAAGAAGAUAAUUGAAAAUUUUAUUAUAUUUGAAUAGUACCUUUUGUAUCAGGGUUGAUUUAUUAUUUAAUUUAUUUUAAAUUCCCGAAUAUAAGAUAUUUAUUAAUUUAUUUUUUUUAUUGUUUCAUAAAUAUUAUUAAUAUUUUAAUUGUAAUUAGAAGUUAUACGUUCUUUUUUAUAUCUGGUUAUUUUUGAUUAAAUUAAAUUUUAGAUUUUUGUUUGAGAAAUUAUUUUUUUUUUAUGGUCUUAUUUAAUCAGGGAUUAGCUUGAUUUUUAAUUAUAAUUUAUUUGUUUUUUAUAUUUACAAGAUUUAAUAAUUUUCUUUAAGUUUUUAAUAAUUUAAUAUAUUUUUUUAUUGAUUUUUUAUUUAUUUAAUUUGUUAAAAAAUUUAUUUAAUAAAUAUUUAUUUAUUUAAGAUAAUGAUUAAAUUAGUAUAAUUUUUAUUUUAAAAUUAAUGAAUUCGACAAAUUUUUAACUUCCAACUGUUUAUCAAAAACAUUUCUUUUAGUUUUUAUAUUGAAGGUACCUCCUGCCCUAUGAGUUAGUGUUAAAUGGCUGCAGUAUAUUGACUGUGCAAAGGUAGCAUAAUAAAUAGCUUCUUAAUUAGUGGCUGGUAUGAAUGGAUGUAUGAGAGGUUUAUUUUAUUAUUUUAAGUAUUAAAAUUUUAUUUUUGAGUGAAAAAUCUUAUUUAAUUAUUUGGGACGAAAAGACCCUAUAGAUUUUUAUUAUUUUUAUAUUAAUGAUUUUUUAGAAUUAAAUUAUGUUAUUUAUUGGAAAAAUUAUUUUAUUGGGGUGAUAAAUAAAUUUAAUAAACUUUAUUUUUUUUAUUCAUUUAUUUUUGUUAGUUUUGAUCCAUUUUUAUUGAUUAUAAGAUAAAGUUACCUUAGGGAUAACAGCGUUAUUUUAUUGGGGAGUUCAUAUCUAUAAUGAAGUUUGCGACCUCGAUGUUGAAUUAAGAUUAUCAUAAGGGGUAGGUUCUUUAUAUUUAAGUCUGUUCGACUUUUAAAAUCUUACAUGAUUUGAGUUCAGACCGGUGUAAGCCAGGUUGGUUUCUAUCUUAAUAUAUUCAAUAUUUAUUUAGUACGAAAGGACCAUUAAAUUCAAAUUUUUUUGUAUUAUUUUUGAUUACUA